UACGUAGGGUGCAAGCGUUGUCCGGAAUUAUUGGGCGUAAAGAGCUCGUAGGCGGUCUGUCGCGUCUGCUGUGAAAACUCGGGGCUUAACCCCGGGCCUGCAGUGGGUACGGGCUGACUAGAGUUCGGUAGGGGAGACUGGAAUUCCUGGUGUAGCGGUGAAAUGCGCAGAUAUCAGGAGGAACACCGGUGGCGAAGGCGGGUCUCUGGGCCGAUACUGACGCUGAGGAGCGAAAGCGUGGGGAGCGAACAGG
rnacentral:rRNA from 1 species